CUAAGARKUUUGKWWUCWGGCUCAGSACGAACGCUGGCGGCGUGCCCUAAUACAUGCAAGUCGAGCGGACAGAAGGGAGCUUGCUCCCGGAUGUUAGCGGCGSACGGGUGAGUAACACGUGGGUAACCUGCCUGUAAGACUGGGAUAACUCCGGGAAACCGGAGCUAAUACCGGAUAGUUCCUUGAACCGCAUGGUUCAAGGAUGAAAGACGGUUUCGGCUGUCACUUACAGAUGGACCCGCGGCGCAUUAGCUAGUUGGUGAGGUAACGGCUCACCAAGGCGACGAUGCGUAGCCGACCUGAGAGGGUGAUCGGCCACACUGGGACUGAGACACGGCCCAGACUCCUACGGGAGGCAGCAGUAGGGAAUCUUCCGCAAUGGACGAAAGUCUGACGGAGCAACGCCGCGUGAGUGAUGAAGGUUUUCGGAUCGUAAAGCUCUGUUGUUAGGGAAGAACAAGUGCAAGAGUAACUGCUUGCACCUUGACGGUACCUAACCAGAAAGCCACGGCUAACUACGUGCCAGCAGCCGCGGUAAUACGUAGGUGGCAAGCGUUGUCCGGAAUUAUUGGGCGUAAAGGGCUCGCAGGCGGUUUCUUAAGUCUGAUGUGAAAGCCCCCGGCUCAACCGGGGAGGGUCAUUGGAAACUGGGAAACUUGAGUGCAGAAGAGGAGAGUGGAAUUCCACGUGUAGCGGUGAAAUGCGUAGAGAUGUGGAGGAACACCAGUGGCGAAGGCGACUCUCUGGUCUGUAACUGACGCUGAGGAGCGAAAGCGUGGGGAGCGAACAGGAUUAGAUACCCUGGUAGUCCACGCCGUAAACGAUGARUGCUAAGUGUUAGGGGGUUUCCGCCCCUUAGUGCUGCAGCUAACGCAUUAAGCACUC
rnacentral:rRNA from 1 species